UGGUCCUACGGGAGGCAGCAGUGAGGAAUAUUGGUCAAUGGGCGAGAGCCUGAACCAGCCAAGUCGCGUGAAGGAUGACGGCCCUAUGGGUUGUAAACUUCUUUUGUCAGGGAGCAAUUGAGUCCACGUGUGGGCUUAGCGAGAGUACCUGAAGAAAAAGCAUCGGCUAACUACGUGCCAGCAGCCGCGGUAAUACGUAGGUGGCAAGCGUUGUCCGGAUUUAUUGGGCGUAAAGCGAGUGCAGGCGGUUCAAUAAGUCUGAUGUGAAAGCCUUCGGCCCAACCGG
rnacentral:rRNA from 1 species